rnacentral:rRNA from 1 species
UGGGGAAUUUUGGACAAUGGGCGAAAGCCUGAUCCAGCAAUGCCGCGUGUGUGAAGAAGGCCUUCGGGUUGUAAAGCACUUUUGUCCGGAAAGAAAUCCUUGGUUCUAAUAUAGCCGGGGGAUGACGGUACCGGAAGAAUAAGCACCGGCUAACUACGUGCCAGCAGCCGCGGUAAUACGUAGGGUGCGAGCGUUAAUCGGAAUUACUGGGCGUAAAGCGUGCGCAGGCGGUUUGCUAAGACCGAUGUGAAAUCCCCGGGCUCAACCUGGGAACUGCAUUGGUGACUGGGCAGGCUAGAGUAUGGCAGAGGGGGGUAGAAUUCCACGUGUAGCAGUGAAAUGCGUAGAGAUGUGGAGGAAUACCGAUGGCGAAGGCAGCCCCCUGGGCCAAUACUGACGCUCAUGCACGAAAGCGUGGGGAGCAAACAGGAUUAGAUACCCUGGUAGUCCAGCGCCCUAAACGAUGUCAACUAGUUGUUGGGGAUUCAUUUCCUUAGUAACGUAGCUAACGCGUGAAGUUGACCGCCUGGGGAGUACGGUCGCAAGAUU